UCUUCGAUAAGAUGUUCUACCCCUUCUUUUACUUCUGGCAGUAGAUGAAGAAAUGUUGUACAGAAAAGAACGCCGCCACCGAAUCCCAAAAGCAAGAUUACAUCACACAGGUAGCCUUUGCAAUUAUUACAACAUGAAACUGAAUGCAUUAUGAUCGUCGUAGUGAUAAUAGAAUCCGCAAACUUUAGAAGCUCGAGGUGUUUGCUUUCAAUAUAUGCACGUGACCUGCUUUCAAGUGGUUUAUCAAUUUGAUCAACUAUGAAGGAAACAUUAGUACCUGGGAUUUCCGACGUCACUUGUUUUCCAUUUCAAGCAUUUUGCCAUUUGCAUUGGUAGAAUCCCCAUGCAUGUACU